rnacentral:misc_RNA from 1 species
AGACAACCCAUUAAAUUGGCGAUAAAUUCAGUAAGGAAACAAUUCCGAGCAACUCAGAACAUCCGUGAAAACAUAGAAUACAGCAACAGCAGGAUGGAAAGAAUUACAGGCUGCAACGUUACUAGCAUAGAAUACAACCACACAACACAACCAUCUUAUUUUUAAGACUAUAGCCCCCUAUGCAUGCUUAUACUUCAUAUAUUUAACGUUAAAGCUCCCCAUCCCACAGCUCUUCAAUAGACUUGAAUGGCCCAUCAGGCGAGAUAAAUUCCUCUUUAAGCAUGAUUCUUUGCUGUGGUAUUUGACUGAUCUUUUCCUUAUCUUCCUUUGUCAGUGCCCAAUCAAAUAUCUCCAUAUUCUCCAUUAGCCUUGCCUUUUUAUAGCUCUUUACUACAAGAGUUGCCCCUUGCUCAAUUAUCCAUCUCAGAGCCACCUGUGCAACAGUCUUCCCAUGCUUCUCUGCUAUUUCUUUCAGCACUUGAUUGUCCAUAACAAGAUUGCUGCCCCAGUUGGCACCAUUUGCUCCCAAAGGAGAGAAAGCAGUCACUAU